GGGGUGAGAUGUGGAUAUUGCAUGCCGCAAGUGAGUCGUAGUACCACAUCACAGCAAAAGCCAACAAUGAGUGCAGGACUUUGAUCGCAAGACAAUGGUCCGUGGAGGCCUUUCACCUGCCUUGGCACAGCAAAGACCUGC
rnacentral:sRNA from 10 species